rnacentral:lncRNA from 1 species
GAGACUCUUGUUACUUCCUGUGGAACCCGUGGAUUGGAAGGUUAUCUAGGCUGCUGCAGAACUCUUCCACCCUGUGCACAGAGAAGUACAUAAAGUGGGAUCUUUCUCAGUGGAGCAGUAUAUAAAACAGAUGCAGACUGAAGGAUGUUAGAAGCACAAAGAAGGUCAUGUGCACGACAUUCAGCUGAGUACAAAAUUCAACAUCUGGAAGAGGUUAAAGACUACACCUGCAGGUUUGUUGCAUGAGUAAAUUCCUGAUUCUGAGGCUUGGAGUUACAAUGAUCCCAUUACUCAGGCAGUGAGAAUAUUACCCAACACGUAGAUCUUCAAGGCUCCAGAUUGUUCUACUCCUGAUGUCAGGAGGAAGCUGAUUUACCUUUGGAAUGAGAUAACCUCUGGGAUCCCUGAACAGUUAAAGGGCAGACGGAAAUAAGGCUUGGCAAUGAAGAUGGACAAGGAACAUAUGCCAGUGCACAUCUAUUAUAAGCCAUUUAUCCCAGACUGUGAUGCAAGUGUGCUUAAGUCUGAAAUGCAAGUGACUCGUACUUACAGGCAAAAUACAUUCCAGCUGAGGAAAAAAGGAUUUUUGUUGCUGAUUUAAUGGAGUGACAGCCUUUCAGAAGUCUUUAAAUUCACCAUUUUCACUGAUGUCACCCUGUUACCAGAAAGGAGUCCUAAUUCUGACCCCAAGAGAAGGUCCUUAAAUCUCGUGCAAGAAAGAUUUCAGGAUUCAAAGAAUUAGCUGGACUAUGUCUCCAGGUGGAUGACUCUAUGGAAACUUUGAGCUGUAUGGAACAACCUCCUGAUCAUCCAUUUACCUUGCUUUGGUACAUUAGGACUUUAAUAGAAACUGCCUAAUGUGCAGGUAAAAAACUAUCAGGACUCAAAACAAGGCCUGUCCAAUCCCUGAUGGUAUGCUUUCUUCUGUAACCUGAGAUGUUUUCCAUUUAUUAUUACUAUUAAAUAGAAUUAUCAUGGGAAGCAUUGAUUUCAAGUGUGGGUUUGGUAUAUUUUGAAUGCUCAAUGAAUGUUAAAUGUCAUUUUUGGUGCUUUUAUAUUGUGUUCUCAUAAAAUGAGAAUUUUCUAGAAAAAGAGAAAUAACCAAUGAAAAGACAGCAGGAUCACCACAACUAGUUGGUUUCUACCUACCUCCUGUGUUUCUUUUUUAUAUUAUUA